GCGGGGCCUUCGAUGCCUGCCGAACCUUCUAGAAUCCCUAGAACCUCAGAGCGCAGGCGCGCCGGCACGCGCACGCGCGCGCAGAGACCCUCGGGAGUUGGCCACGCCCACGCAGACAUCCUUGGGGACGUGCCCCUGCUGUGAGAAGCGCGACUGUGGUGCGGAGGGUCCUCCUGCUCCCCUGCUGCGGCUGUGCCUCCGAACCCCGCUGUGCCCACGGUCUCCGGCCGCGCCAGCCCAGGGUUCCAGAAGGUUCAAGUUCAAGAAAUGAUGCUUCUCUGUGCCUUGCUCCUAGCCGUUGGCUGGCUGCAGGUCACUGAUGGAGAGGCACCUUGGGCCUAUCAUAUGAAAUGCUACAACUGUUGGAUGAUCAACAACUUCUUUUGUGCAGAAACUAGAGCAUGUCCCAUAAAUCUCAGGCGCUGCAUGACAAUCUCUGCUCGUUUGAAUGACCGGGAAAUACUUGUUUACAAGAACUGUACAAACAACUGCACCUUUGUAUAUCCAUCCGAAGUACCUCCUGAAGCCCCAAGAUCCAAAUAUUUCAAAACCAAUAGUUUCUAUUUUGUUCGUUGUUGUAACACUAUUAAUUGCAAUGAAGGAGGACCUCUUAUCCUGGAUAAGGAUAUUCUACCCGAUUAUACCAUUGAGGAGGCAUUAGAGGGAACUGUGCGCCUGGGAGAAUCAACAUUUUUCCUGAGCGUUGCCUCCAUCCUAGUCAGCAAUACACUGACAUGAGAAGCCCUCUUGGAGGGCCUGAUCUCUCCCCCCAUUCCUCAGAGCAAGUUCACUCUCCUUUCCUCCCUUGUGACCCGGGGACCCUGACCCACAUGCCUCCCAGUUGGCCGGUUACCCCUUUUCAGCUUAUUUCAAGAGAGAAAUAAAGAACAUCAUUGUUUGGGU